rfam:Schistosoma margrebowiei strain Zambia genome assembly, scaffold: SMRZ_scaffold0000313
AGCCUUCUGUAUCCGUGCUGAGAUUUCGUCGCACGCCAGACCACAAAGUCAAUGAGACUCUCAAGAUGAAUGAAGCA